rnacentral:rRNA from 1 species
CAUCGAGCCCUUAUUGACUUAGGGCAACUUUCAUUCCGGAGGCCCUUAGGCCCGACUGAGAACGCGGACUGGCAAGAGUUGCUAGACUGCAUUGCACUUCACGAGCCUGAUCUCAGGACUGACGAUGAUCGAUCUAGAUGGCGAGUAGAGCCUUCUAGGCAAUUCUCCACCAAAUAUCUCUAUCUGGCCAUCGCUUCCUCGCUUGGCCAUGAGGCGCUCACCUCCAUCUGGGAGAUUCGCCUCCCUCUGAAAAUUAAGAUCUUCUUGUGGCAAUGGAUUCGUGGUCGCCUCCCAACGGGAGUUGAGGUCCUAAAGCGCAAUGGCCCUGGUGAUGGGCGUUGCCCGCUCUAUGGGCCUGAAGAAGAUUCGAACCAUAUCUUCUUCACCUACGUGUCCGCACAGUUCCUAUGGAGUUGUUUCCGUGAGAUAGUGGGUGGAAGCUGCGACCACAACAACUUCCCGCUCUCUUUGCCCAACUCCAAGCAAUUCCAUCUGCGGUGCGCCACAUUAGGUGGCUCACCAUUGGGGUGCUUGCCUGGACGCUGUGGAAUGUUAGGAAUAAACUUGUGA